rnacentral:rRNA from 1 species
UACGUAGGUGGCAAGCGUUGUCCGGAUUUACUGGGCGUAAAGAGCUCGUAGGCGGUGUGUCGCGUCGGCCGUGAAAACCUGCAGCUUAACUGUGGGCUUGCGGUCGAUACGGGCAUCACUGGAGUUCGGCAGGGGAGACUGGAAUUCCUGGUGUAGCGGUGAAAUGCGCAGAUAUCAGGAGGAACACCGGUGGCGAAGGCGGGUCUCUGGGCCGAUACUGACGCUGAGGAGCGAAAGCGUGGGGAGCGAACAGG